UGGGGAAUAUUGGACAAUGGGCGAAAGCCUGAUCCAGCCAUGCCGCGUGUGUGAAGAAGGUCUUCGGAUUGUAAAGCACUUUAAGUUGGGAGGAAGGGCAGUAAGCGAAUACCUUGCUGUUUUGACGUUACCGACAGAAUAAGCACCGGCUAACUCUGUGCCAGCAGCCGUGGUAAUACAGAGGGUGCGAGCGUUAAUCGGAUUUACUGGGCGUAAAGCGUGCGUAGGCGGCUAAUUGAGUCGGAUGUGAAAUCCCCGAGCUUAACUUGGGAAUUGCAUUCGAUACUGGUUAGCUAGAGUGUGGGAGAGGAUGGUAGAAUUCCAGGUGUAGCGGUGAAAUGCGUAGAGAUCUGGAGGAAUACCGAUGGCGAAGGCAGCCAUCUGGCCUAACACUGACGCUGAGGUACGAAAGCAUGGGGAGCAAACAGG
rnacentral:rRNA from 1 species